rnacentral:rRNA from 1 species
UACGGAGGGUGCAAGCGUUAAUCGGAAUUAUUGGGCGUAAAGCGCGCGCAGGUGGUUUCUUAAGUCUGAUGUGAAAGCCCACGGCUUAACCGUGGAGGGUCAUUGGAAACUGGGAGACUUGAGUGCAGAAGAGGAAAGUGGAAUUCCAAGUGUAGCGGUGAAAUGCGUAGAGAUUUGGAGGAACACCAGUGGCGAAGGCGACUUUCUGGUCUGCAACUGACGCUGAGGCGCGAAAGCAUGGGGAGCAAACAGGAUUAGAUACCCUGGUAGUCCAUGCCGUAAACGAUGAGUGCUAAGUGUUAGGGGGUUUCCGCCCCUUAGUGCUGCAGCUAACGCAUUAAGCACUCCGCCUGGGGAGUACGACCGCAAGGUUGAA